GGACAGCCAGUGAUCCAGCGACAAGGUCAUGAGCGCCCGAGGCUCACUGAUGUCCAUUGGGAGCGAAGGCUAGCCCUUCUGGUCCGAUCUCACAGAAGCUACUGUAGCACAAAUUGCUGAAAAGAUCACAACAUCUGUGGCAUGUGUUGGACAAACAAGUCCGAUCUAUGGAGGCCCGACCUCGCAGCUUACAGGACUUAAAGGAUCUGCUGCUAACGUAUUGGUGCCAGAUACCUGACCAAACCUUCAGAGGUCUUGUGGAAUCCAUACUUUGAAGGGUCAGAGCUGUUUGGUGGCACAAGGGGGACCUACACAACAUUAGCCAUCAAUAGCAUCUCCACAGAGAUAAAACUCUG
ensembl:lncRNA